rnacentral:siRNA from 1 species
CCCUUAGUAACGGCGAGCGAACCG